UGGCUACUUUGCCCUAUUUUCUGCCCCAUCCUGUGCCUUCUUUCCUUUUGUCCUUCUCCUGGAUGCUUUCUGCAUCUCUUUUGCUGCAGGAUGUGGUGGCCAUCCCCAUUCUCUGCGAUUUUAAUGAACAUCAGCUGUCUGGGAGAAGACUCCCAACAUCUGUCUUUUUUUUUUUUUUUUUUUUUUUUUGAGACUGGGUCCAGGCUGGAGUGCAGUGCUGCGCCCUGCAACCUCUGCCUCCUGGGUUCAAGUGAUUCUCCUGCUUCAGCCUCCUGAGUAGCUGGGAUUACAGGCACCCACCACCACACCCAGCUAAUUUUUGUAUUUUUAAUAGAGACGGGGUUUCACCAUGUUGACCAGGCUGGUCUUGAACUCCUGACCUCGAGUGAUCCACCCACCUCGGCCUCCCAAAGUGCUGGGAUUGCAGCCAUGAGCCUCCAUGCCCGGCCCCCAACAUCUGUCUUGUUCAAAAAAGAGCCAGCAUGUAGACAGGGACGGACCACACCAGGCAGGGCUGGGGAUGCUGGCCAGGAGAUGGGAUCUGAUCAUCAACUGAAAUGUUACCUGGGAGGUCUUCAGAUUGGCUGCCUCAUCUCCUUUCUCUCCAGGGGAUGCUUGCUAGCACAUGGAUCUUACUUCACCUCUUCUGGACAGUUUCCCUUCCCCCUGGCAGCCCUCACCAGGCUUCUGGGAAGUGAGGGGACAUAGGAAAUGGACUUCACACUAUUACUGAACAGAUGAGAGUCCCUGAAGUCAUGGAUUCAUUUCCUUCCUGAGUAGCCUUGUCACCCUUGUUGUUUCUCUCCACAGGUUUCAAGUUGCCCUAGCAUGCAGGAUGAGAUGGCUUCAGAGAGGAUGGGCAGCCCGGUUUCAUCAGAGUGACAGUGGAAAGUACCUUGGGCUUUGUGGUCAGAAGAGCCCAGCUCCAGGGCAGUGUGUUUCCUGAAGCCAUGUGACCUUGAGCAAAUCGCUUUUGUCUUUGACCCUCUGUUUUCUUCUGGGUUAAUGAAAAUAGGGGCGAUGCUUCUUUGCCACAGGUUCAUGACUGCCUGCCACUUCCUCUCUGUUCUCCUGCCUCCUCUGUCUGGAAGACAUGUCCAGUUUCCUCCACUCCUGGAUUCUCCUUGCUUUUGUCCUCAGACCAUCAGAUUCAAGAGAGGCAGUGCAGGUGGAUGGCAAAGGGACCCGGAUACAAAAAGCUGAGUCAGGCCCCGGGCCAGGGCUAACCAUGCGCAGGGCAGAGUCCCUGGGGCUGCAGUUGGUUAUCAUUACUGUUUUCUU
rnacentral:lncRNA from 1 species